AUUGAACGCUGGCGGCAUGCCUUACACAUGCAAGUCGAACGGCAGCACGGGAGCAAUCCUGGUGGCGAGUGGCGAACGGGUGAGUAAUAUAUCGGAACGUGCCCAGUCGUGGGGGAUAAUGCAGCGAAAGCUGUGCUAAUACCGCAUACGAUCUAAGGAUGAAAGCGGGGGAUCGCAAGACCUCGCGCGAUUGGAGCGGCCGAUAUCAGAUUAGCUAGUUGGUGGGGUAAAGGCCCACCAAGGCGACGAUCUGUAGCUGGUCUGAGAGGACGACCAGCCACACUGGAACUGGGACACGGUCCAGACUCCUACGGGAGGCAGCAGUGGGGAAUUUUGGACAAUGGGCGCAAGCCUGAUCCAGCAAUGCCGCGUGCAGGAUGAAGGCCUUCGGGUUGUAAACUGCUUUUGUACGGAACGAAACGGCCCUUUCUAAUACAGGGGGCUAAUGACGGUACCGUAAGAAUAAGCACCGGCUAACUACGUGCCAGCCGCCGCCGGUAAGAC
rnacentral:rRNA from 1 species